CGGGCUGUAGUACAACGGUAGUAUGCACGGCUGGGGGUCGUGUGACCCGGGUUCAAUUCCCGGCAGCCCGA
rnacentral:tRNA from 1 species